UUCAUCUUUCCUUUAUAGGCAUAUGCGGCUGUAUUUCUUUGAGUUACAUGGAACUUUAGGAAAAUGAUAUUUUAUGAAACUGCUACAAAGUAAAAGGAGAAGACAUACAACAAAAAAAAUAUUCUAAAGAGAAGCAACUCGGUGCACUUUGUAUCUGGAAGAUGGCACACGCAAGUCUGAGACUACAUGUUAACCUCUUGAUCAUGUACCCAGAUAGUUAAAUAAUUCACUUCAAUUUCAACCGCAGCUCAUUUUCAUCUUACAUCUAUGACUUCAAGCUAUGUCACC
rnacentral:lncRNA from 1 species